GACGAACGCUGGCGGCGUGCUUAACACAUGCAAGUCGAACGGAAAGGCCCUGCUUUUGUGGGGUGCUCGAGUGGCGAACGUGUGAGUAACCCGUGAGUAACCUGCCCUUGACUUUGGGAUAACUUCAGGUAACUGGGGCUAAUACCUGAUAGGAGCUCCUGCUGCUUGGUGGGGGUUGGAAAGUUUCGGCGGUUGGGGAUGGACUCGCGGCUUAUCAGCUUGUUGGUGGGGUAGUGGCUUACCAAGGCUUUGACGGGUAGCCGGCCUGAGGAGGUGGCCGGCCACAAUAGGACUGAGAGACGGCGCAGACUGCUACGGGAGGCAGCAGGGGGAAACAUGACACAAUGGGGGGAAGUGUGAGGCAGCAACGCCGCGUUCGGGAUGCCGUCCUUUGGGUUGUAAACAGCUUCUGCCUGUGACGAAGCGUUAGUGACGGUAAUGGAUAAAGAAGCACCGGCUAACUACGUG
rnacentral:rRNA from 1 species